GACAGAGGGUGCAAACGUUGUUCGGAAUUACUGGGCGUAAAGCGUGUGUAGGCGGUCUCAUAAGUCGGGUGUGAAAGCCCCGGGCUCAACCCGGGAAGUGCACUCGAAACUGCGAGGCUAGAGUACUGGAGAGGUUGGUGGAAUUCUCGGUGUAGAGGUGAAAUUCGUAGAUAUCGAGAGGAACACCGGUGGCGAAGGCGGCCAACUGGACAGAUACUGACGCUGAGACACGAAAGCGUGGGUAGCAAACAGG
rnacentral:rRNA from 1 species